AUACGGGAGGCAGCAGUGGGGAAUAUUGGACAAUGGGCGCAAGCCUGAUCCAGCAAUGCCGCGUGAGUGAAGAAGGCCUUAGGGUUGUAAAGCUCUUUCGGCGGGGACGAUGAUGACGGUACCCGCAGAAGAAGCCCCGGCUAACUCCGUGCCAGCAGCCGCGGUAAUACGGAGGGGGCUAGCGUUGUUCGGAAUUACUGGGCGUAAAGGGCGCGUAGGCGGUGCGAUAAGUCAGGCGUGAAAGGCCCGGGCUCAACCCGGGGACUGCGCUUGAUACUGUUGCGCUGUGAGUCCGGGAGAGGAUGGCGGAAUUCCCAGUGUAGAGGUGAAAUUCGUAGAUAUUGGGAAGAACACCGGUGGCGAAGGCGGCCAUCUGGACCGGCACUGACGCUGAGGCGCGAAAGCGUGGGGAGCAAACAGGAUUAGAUACCCCGGUAGU
rnacentral:rRNA from 1 species